UUAGAACUCAUAGCAAGAUCAGCCUUAGCAACCACAUGGCUUAGUAACUGUCGUUACCAAGACAACCAGGCAGUUGGAGAGGAAUGAGAGGUAGCAGAUAAGGUGCACUGAUGCAGUCUUAUUCCAAGCCUAGCAACUCAGAAAUAAAAGGCAUAUUUAGCAAAGCGAAAAUGGGAGUUUACCACUCAGGUGGCCAGUGCCCAAGAAGCCACCUUAUCUACCAUAUCGGAAAAGAGGAUCACGGCGACGAGAAUUCUUGGGAUUACAACUUUAAGGCAUAA
rnacentral:lncRNA from 1 species